UCGUUCACGUGGACACGCUAUUCACAUUCCUUCCUAACAAAUCAAUUAAGUUUUGAGUUAAUCAUUAGUGCUAGUGCUAUUAAAAUCAUCAGAAACAUUCGCCAGUUCAUUCUGGAGUCAACUCGAGAAAUAUUUCAAGACAAUUCAAAAAUCGUUCAAAAAAUACAAAAAUAAUGCACAACUUCCGAAUACAUCAGCUUUUCCACCAAUCGGCUUUGAAAACACUGAAUACUCAACAGUCCACAUUGGACAUGAUAUAUGGAUUGACGCAGACACAUUUUACAUGGUGAUGGGACAUUCCUCUCCAACUAUUGUCAUUAGAGAUUUAUGUAGAGCUUUAUUUUCGACAUCCUUACCGCUGAGGAGCACGGUUUUAGGAAACCCGACUAAUAAAAAAAAAAAGAAAAAAUUAAAUUAAUGAACCUGUCCAAGGAUUAUCAUCGAUCAGACUACAUGCAAUAAGAGAUACAUUGGAAUAUUAUUUAAAUAAACGCCAUAAGGACAUGUCACAAUUUAAAAAAGAUGCUGUCUUGGGAAACGUAAGAACUGUAAUUUCAUCUCUCAUAUCGGAUUCGAAAAAAGAAGAAAAGAAAAAUAAAAUAACUGAAGAACAAGAAAGUACGGCUGGAGAAAAUAAAAAAAAUACAGGAAAAAA
rnacentral:misc_RNA from 1 species